AGGGAAAAACAUAAGGUCAAAAAGCACAAUGGGGGCAUCUAGUGACCAAAACCCGGAACAACCCUGGCCAAAUCCUGACAGUCUGGCUACACCUCUAAACAACGAGAGUUCCAGAUGGAAUAGCAUCAAAGACUAUAGCAAACUCUAGGUGUAACAGGGAUAUUGUAACGAGAUAACAUUCCUCAUAAUUGAGUAACAAUCCUUCUGCAUUAAAAAGUUGAGUAGGAUAUGAUUAUUAAACCAGUUCUUAAAAAAUAAAGACUUGUUUCUUUACAAAAUAUCCUUAUUGUUCCAAAUGAAAUACCUAUGCGGGGGAAAAUUAUGUUUAUAUAUUAACGACCACACUAAGAAUACUUGUCUUUGAAAAGCAGAUAAUGUUGUAGGAAUCUUAUCAAUGUUAUAGUUACAAAGGAACAUAAAAUUGAGGCCACCAAAACGGGAAAAGAUAUGAGGGCUGAGAUUCCAAAUUGAAGUUGGAUUCUUUAAGAAAUGUUUAGCCCAAAGUAGGAAAAUCAUUUUUACCCCCAGAUGAAGUUGAAAAGAACCUGGUCAACCCCUUUUACCUAUUUUGUUAUCAAGAUGUAGGGACUGGGCUGCAUAAGUAAGUCUGGAGAUACCUUCAGCUUUAGAAAGCAAUACUCAACCUUUCAAGGAUAAAUCCCUCUGCAACCAAUGGUUCAACUUCUUUUUGGGUUUUUUCAAUAAUAGGUAUGAAAUUUAAUAAGCACCUUUCCUGUUGAUUCUUAGAUAUGGUAAUCCCAAGGUAUGUUACUUUUUCCUUGACUGGAAUAUUGUAUAUACUGUAGAGGGUAUCACAGUCUUUAACAGCAAAUAAUUCCCACUUAUUUAGGUUUAGGCAAAGACCAGAUGAUUUGGAAAAUAUAUUUAUCACAUUGAUUGCCGUAGGAAUCUGGUCAGCAUCUUUCAAAAAGAGGGUGAUGUCAUCUGCAAGCUGAUUUAUGAUAAUAUCUCUGUCAGCAAUAGAGAUCCCUUUUAUGUCACUGGAUUUAACAGAACUUGUAAGAAGUUGGGUUGCAAGCAGGAAGAGGUAAGGCAAAAUUGGGCAACCUUGCCUAAUUCCUCUUUUCAAAUCAAAUCUAGGAGAAGUGCCAUGCUUUAAUUUAAAGGAUCUGUUCCUGUUCAUAUAAACAUUUAAUUGUACUACAAAAUUAUUCCUCAACCAAAUUUCUCAAGGGAGACAAAUAGAAACUCAUGUUUCACUGUAUCAAAGGCUUUAUAAAAGUUUAAGAAGACAAUAAAACUAUCUUUGAGGAUUAGAUCAGAAUAGUCAAUAAGGUCUAACACCAGUCGGAUAUUAUUAUACAGUUGAAGUCGGAAGUUUACAUACACUUAAGUUGGAGACAUUAAAACUAGAUUUUCAACCACUCCACAAAUUUCUUGUUAACAAACUAUAGUUUUGGCAAGUCGGUUAGGACAUCUACUUUGUGCAUGACACAAGUCAUUUUUCCAACAAUUGUUUACAGACAGAUUAUUUCACUUAUAAUCACAAUUCCAGUGUGUCAGACGUUUACAUACACUAAGUUGACUGUGCCUUUAAACAGCUUUGGAAAAUUCAUGAAAAUUAUGUCAUGACUUUAGAAGCUUCUGUUAGGCUAAUUUAUAUAAUUUUAGUCAAUUGGUGGUGUACCUGUGGAUGUAUUUCAAGACCUACCUUCAAACUCAGUGCCACUUUGCUUGACAUCAGGGGAAAAUCAAAAGAAAUCAGCCAAGACCUCAGAAAAUUGUAGAGAUCCACAAGUCUGAUUUAUCCUUGGGAGCAAUUUCCAAAUGCCUGAAGGUGCCACGUUGUAACGGAUGUCGUCUGGAGAUAGAGAGGAGGACCAAGGUGCAGCGUGGUAAGUGUUCAUGUCUUUUUAAUAAACAAACUGAACACUGGAACAAAACAAUAAACGAUGUGAACAAAACGAAACAGUACCGUGUGGCCCAAACACUCACACGGAAACAAACACCCACAAACCAAAAGUGAAACCCAGGCUACCUAAGUAUGAUUCUCAGUCAGGGACAACAAUUGACAGCUGCCUCUGAUUGAGAACCAUACUCGGCCGAACUCAAAAACCAACAUAGAAAAACAAACAGACUGCCCAACUCACGCCCUGACCAUACUAAAACACAGACAAAAACAAAGGAACUAAGGUCAGAACGUGACAGUACCGCCCCCCCCCCCCAAAGGUGUGGACUCCGGCCACAAAACCUGAACCUAUAUGGGAGGGCCUGGGUGGGCGUCUGUCCGCGGGGCGGCUCCGGCACGGGACGUGGACCCGGCACGGGAUGUGGACCCCACUUCACCAUAGUUUUUUUUUGCACCUCUUAGCCCGCCUCCGUGGCCUCUUUAGAGCGGCUACCCUGGCCACCGACCUUGGUCUGGGGACCCACGCCACGUGUCGGGUGCCAUGUACGCUGGCCGAUAGGAGACGCACUGGAGACCAGAUGCGCAGAGCCGGCUUCAUGGCACCUGGCUCGAUGCCCACUCUAGCCCGGCCGAUACGGGGAGCUGGGAUGUAGCGCACCUGGCUAAGCACACGUACUGCUCCACUGCAUAACACGAUGCCUGACCAGUACGACACCCUCUCUCUCCACGGUAAGCACGGGGAGUUGGCGCAGGUCUCCAACCUGACUUCGCCACACUCCCCGUGUUCCCCCUCCCAAUACAUUUUUGGGGCUGCCUCUCACGUUCAUCUGUACAAACAAUAGUACGCAAGUAUAAACACCAUGGGACCAUGCAGCCAUCAUACCAUUCAAGAAGGAGAUAUGUUCUGUCUCCUAGAGAUGAACAUACUUUGGUGCGAAAAGUGCAAAUUAAUCCCAGAACAACAGGAAAGGACCUUGUGAAGAUGCUGGAGGAAACGGGUACAAAAGUAUCUAUAUCCACAGUAAAACGAGUCCUAAGGACUCCGCAAGGAAGAAUCCACUGUUCCAAAACCGCCCCCAAAAAAGCCAAACUACAGUUUGCAACUGCACAUGGGGACAUAUUUAUUCUGUGAUUCGUUGUCAUUAAAGACUGUUUCUGAAAGGAUUCAUGCUGUUGCACAAAUUAUUGAACCAGCUGAGGGGACACUGGUUACCAUCAAGUACGCAGAUGGAGGAAGCCAGAGGAAGAGGUUCUUCCUCUCUCAAACCUUCUCAGGUACAGUACAACAAGAUAAUAUCCACUUUCUCUCAGGAAAGGUCUUGGACCUCAUUAAACUUGUUAAUGUGCAAUUAUCUCAAUGCUUAUAGGACAUAGUAAUGUUCGUUGGGGCCCCUGAUACUGUCAUCCGCCAGUUACACACGUGCCCAGGCAGGAACAGUGGAGGACAGCGGGAUUGUUAAAGAUGCGGUUUUCUUCAUAGACGCUGGCUGAGGAUCAGGUCCCCACCUGCCUCACCAGUGUCUACACCCACCAGGUCCCCACCUGGCUCACAAGUAUCUACACCCACCAGGUCCCCACCUGCCUCACCAGUGUCUACACCCACCAGGUCCCCACCUGCCUUGGCAUCCACUGAUGAAGAAAAUUCUCUGAAGACGCUACUCUUCAGGCUGGCUAAAAAAGUGGACAGAGAACACACCCCAUUGGCCAAUAUGGUAAAUGUUUCUCAGAGCCAGGUCCUGCCAUCCUCGACGCCACCUGCAAGGUAAACAUAGUGUUUGUAGACACAAAUGUAUGGGGAGGAAUCCAUCUGAUGGUGUACCACUUCGAGAGCUUGCCUUCCUUCUCCUAAGGGAGAAAAUCGUUGCUUGUUCACUGGGCAAGAGGACUCCAAAUCCCUGGAGCUGAACAGAGAUGCACGCGAGUCUGGCCAAUACCAGACUUUGGGGGCAAUGGUGGCAGUCUGUCUGGUGCAAGCUGGAGCAGCAUCACCUUUCUUGAGUGAAUGGAUAUUCCGUUUGCUGGCACUGCUGCCUAAUUCCCCCCCCGCCUGGACUGGAUGACAUUAUGGAGGAUACCUUCUGAGAUGCACUCAAAAAGAUUUACAGAACUGCUGAAGACCCUUCUAGAAUGUCUGAGGGCACACCCACACAUGCUUCGUGAGCUUUUUGUGGCUGGUGUCACAAAGCCGUUGACAUCUGAAGACCUUUUGGAGCUGUUCCUACCAAACGCUCCCCGGCGGGUACUAACAGCAGGAGACAGGAGGAACUAGUUCUAUUCUGCUGGAGGUCUUCCUCUUAGAGA